rnacentral:rRNA from 1 species
UGAAGGGCGAACGACGGCAGGUGGCCGGUGGCCUUCCCCGUGUUGGUCGCCGGUUGUUAGCCGGUUCGUCAGUGGCACGUCGCUCGACCGAGGUAUCACGAGGCCCCUCGGGGCUCUCACGUCUCCUCCCCACGGAAGCGGGACAGAACGUCGCAAGCGAAGGCAGCCGUCCCGUCGCACUCACGAGAGUGGACGGGCGAACUCUCGGCGCCGUUGGCGACGGCGGGCCCGCGGGAGGCAGGAGGCUCGCGGCGAGUAGGUCGGUCACCCACCCGACCCGUCUUGAAACACGGACCAAGGAGUCUAACAUGUGCGCGAGUCAAUGGGUCUUGAACAGGCCCAGAGGCGCAAUGAAAGCAAAGGUCGACGCACGUCGACCGAGUUGGGAUCCCUCGUUUCAAAGCGAGGGCGCACCAACGACCCGUCCUAUCCGGUUCGCCGGUUGGGCGGAGUGUGAGCGUACACGUUGGGACCCGAAAGAUGGUGAACUAUGCCCGGACAGGACGAGGCCAG